rnacentral:lncRNA from 1 species
UGCUAGCUUCUUGUAAAUAAGACAUACUUCCCUUAAAUGUCUCUUCAAAUGGCUAAUUGACCCACUCGCAACAACAACAUAAGUUCUUUUACAAUGUAAACAUUGCCAUUUUUUCGUUCCAUCCUUUAACUUCACUUCUUUGAAGUGAUCCCAAACUGGAGAAGUUUUCUUUCUCUUAGCCUUUUGAAUAACGUCGUUGUUCUCGACAUUCUCUUCAUU